ACAUUGGAGCUGCUGCUCCCUGUUUGGAAGCCUCUCUCUCUCCCAGAGAGCACAUUGGGAUGCUCAUGGCUAAUUCAGGUUAUUUCUAAAGAUUUUAUUAAGAGUACUUGCUGACUAGUCCCUUCUGCCUUCUGGGCAGGUCACAUCUGAAAGAUUAUCCUCUUUGAAUCAGUUUGAAUGUUCUAGUGACCAGGCCACACAGUUUCUCUUGACAUUUAAAAAUAAAGCUUCCAGUCUUGUCACUAAUGGAUUUGGGGUCCAGUACCCUUAAAAUCACCUCAGAGCUGCCUGAAUCCAUAGACUACUUGCAGAAUCACUGGUUUUACUUGGAUCAAGCCAUCUGAGAAGUUUGGCUGAAAUAAAAACUCAAAGCCCCCACAAUAUUGAACCACCAUUCCAGACCCAGCCAAGGUUUGGAACAUAAAGUGAGCUGAAUGAAUCAGCCUGCAGGCAACCCAGAGAAAGUAAUUGUUCAUCCUAGCAGCACGGCUGCUUUUCUGCUUAGCAUCUGAACAAGUUAAUUUGGAAACACAGCCUUCUGGAAAGAAAUGGCGCUUCUCUCAGCAUCCCAUGGAUUCAUGAGCAGCUCCUUGAAUGCAAAUAUUGCCUGAUAUUUUCAUGUGGUCUCCAGACACAGGAGAAGAGCGACGGCGAAGAAAGGAAGGAAGGAAGAAAGAAAAGGAGCCUGAAUUUACACUCACCGCUUCAAAAGCCCUUUUGUACUAAGCCAACUUCUCCUGGCUGAAGAUGCAGUAUCUGCCAAGAAGUCGCCUGCAAGAAAGCACACCACACAACAAAAGUAUAAAACAGUCCAUUAAAGGGCUCCUUUUCUACCCA
ensembl:lncRNA C12orf42-AS1 C12orf42 antisense RNA 1